GGCUGGUUAGCUCAGUGGGUUGAGCGCAGUGCUGACAACAAUGACAACACCGAGGUUGCGGGUUUAAUUCCCGCUCCAUCCC
rnacentral:tRNA from 1 species